rnacentral:ncRNA from 1 species
AAAGAUUUGGUCCUAAUCCUUGGGUUUAACUUUUUUGGCCAAGCUUACACAUUGCAACGCCUUCAGCAUACCAGUGAAAACACCCUAACAGUCCCACCAGACAAAAGGAGUUGGUAUCAGGCACACCGCGAUAGCCCAGGACACCUAGCUUCCUGCCACACCCCCAAGGGCAUCACAGCAGUGACAAAAAUUAAGCAAAUAAGCGCAAGCUUGACUUAGCUAUAGUAAAGAGGGUUGGUCAAUCUUGUGCCAGCCACCGCGGUUACACAAGAAACCCAAACCAACAGAAAACCGGCGUAAAAUGUGACUAAAACAACUAUCUAAAAAAUUAAGGAGAACCAUAUACUCAACUGUCAUACGUAAAAGUAUAUAAUUACCCCAAUAUGAAAAUAUCCCUAAAUACAACAGAACUAUUCGAACCCACGAUAGCUAAGACACAAACUGGGAUUAGAUACCCCACUAUGCUUAGCCAUAAACCCAGAUAUUUUACACACAAAAAUAUCCGCCAGAGAACUACGAGCAAAACGCUUAAAACUCUAAGGACUUGGGCGGUGCCUCAAACCCCCCUAGAGGAGCCUGUUCUAUAAUCGAUAAUCCACGAUUUACCCUACCAUCUCUUGCCAAUACCGCCUAUAUACCACCGUCAUUAGCCUACCCUAUGAAGGAUAUAAGAGUAAGCAAAAUAGCUAACAACAGCUAACAAGUCAGGUCAAGGUGUAGCUAAUUGAGAUGGAAGAAAUGGGCUACAUUUUCUAAAUUAGAAAUAAUCUCACGGAAAGAACUAUGAAACAAGUCCUAUAAGCAGGAUUUAGCAGUAAACAGGGAUCAGAAUGCCCAACUUAAGUCGGUCCUAAGGCACGCACACACCGCCCGUCACCCUCCUCAAAUCAACCAACACCUUAAUAAAUAAAACCACAACAAACAACAGAUGAGGCAAGUCGUAACAAGGUAAGUAUACCGGAAGGUGUACUUGGAAUAU